ensembl:lncRNA
AGGGAGCGAGAGUGAGCAGCUGCUGUUAAUUCGGAGCCCAGUAGGCCUCUCAAGGGCAUUGGAAAUCCAGAAGCAGCUCUGGGAGCUCCACCUAACUACUCCGUCCUGCUCUUCCUUAGCUUCUGCUUGCCUUGCCUUACAGACAAUCCCACAAUGGCUGCAUGAAGAAUCCCAGCCGGAAUACCCACCCCCACACUUCCUCGCCCUUUGAAGAAGCAAACCAAGAUGGAUAACAGGUCACACCUUUUUUCCCAAGAAAAUGAGAACACUUCUACCAACAACGUCAGUGUGAGUGGGAGAGGACCCGCUUCAUUCACACACAGAAUGAGAAGCACCCUGAAGCUGUGCACUCAUGGCGCUUCACGUGGACUCUACCAUGGUCAGAUGUACCCGGGCCAGAAGAGUGAACUCCCAAAUUCUAAGUUGGAGGUGACAGAGAAAUCAGCAGUUUCUCAAUGCGUCUCCUCUCUGUGACUUGUUAACCAGAG